ACGAACGCUGGCGGCAUGCCUAACACCUGCAAGUCGAACGAGACCUUCGGGUCUAGUGGCGCCCGGGUGCGUAACGCGUGGGAACCUGCCCUUAGGUUCGGAAUAACUCCCCGAAAGGGGUGCUAAUACCGGAUAAUGUCUUCGGACCAAAGAUUUAUCGCCUUUGGAUGGGCCCGCGUUGGAUUAGCUAGUUGGUAGGGUAAAAGCCUACCAAGGCGACGAUCCAUAGCUGGUCUGAGAGGAUGAUCAGCCACACUGGGACUGAGACACGGCCCAGACUCGUACGGAGAGCAGCAGUAGGGAAUAUUGUACAAUGAGCGAAAGCCUGAUCCAGCAGUGCCGCGUGAGUGAGGAAGGCCUUAGGGUUGUAAAGCUCUUUUACCCGGGAUGAUAAUGACAGUACCGGGAGAAUAAGCUCCGGCUAACUCCGUG
rnacentral:rRNA from 1 species